GGAGCGCGCGCAGUGAUGGUUCGACUGCACCGGAUUGUAAAUCCGGGCCCGCGGGUUUCAAGGUUCGAAUCCUUGGCGCUCCACCA
rnacentral:tRNA from 1 species